UCCCUGGAGGACUAGUGGUUAGGCCUCAGCACGCUCCCCUCUGUGGCCGGGGUUCGAUUCCUAGCCAGGGAA
rnacentral:tRNA from 1 species